rnacentral:rRNA from 1 species
AUUGAACGCUGGCGGUAGGCCUAACACAUGCAAGUCGAACGCGAAAGUCCUUCGGGAGUGAGUAGAGUGGCGGACGGGUGAGUAACGCGUAGGAAUCUAUCCUGUAGUGGGGGAGUAACGUUUCGAAAGGAACGCUAAUACCGCAUACGCCCCAACGGGGGAAAGGACGGGGGAGUCUUCGGACCUCGUGCUAUAGGAGGAGCCUGCGUCGGAUUAGCUAGUUGGUGAGGUAAAGGCUCACCAAGGCGACGAUCCGUAGCUGGUCUGAGAGGAUGAUCAGCCACACCGGAACUGAGACACGGUCCGGACUCCUACGGGAGGCAGCAGUGGGGGAAUAUUGCGCAAUGGGCGAAAGCCUGACGCAGCCAUACCGCGUGUGUGAAGAAGGCCUUCGGUUGUAAAG